GAUGAAGAACGCAGCGAAAUGCGAUAAGUAAUGUGAAUUGCAGAAUUCAGUGAAUCAUCGAAUCUUUGAACGCACCUUGCGCCCUUUGGCUAUUCUGAAGGGCAUGCCUGUUUGAGUAUCAUGAACACCUCAACUCUCAUGGUUCGCCAUGAUGAGCUUGGACUUUGGGGGUCUUGCUGGCCUACGGUCGGCUCCUCUCAAAUGAAUCAGCUUGCCAGUGUUUGGUAGAGUCGCAGGUGUGAUAACUAUCUACGCUUGUGGUUUUCUGCCAGAUAACCUUCAGUGAUGGAGGUUCGCUGGAGCUUAUAAAUGUCUCUCCCCAGUGAGGACAGCUUUUUGAACGUUUGAUCUCAAAUCAGGUAGGACUACCCGCUGAACUUAAGCAUAUCAAUAAGCGGAGG
rnacentral:misc_RNA from 1 species